rnacentral:rRNA from 1 species
GAUGAACGCUGGCGGCGUGCCUAAUACAUGCAAGUCGAGCGAACGGACGAGAAGCUUGCUUCUCUGAUGUUAGCGGCGGACGGGUGAGUAACACGUGGAUAACCUACCUAUAAGACUGGGAUAACUUCGGGAAACCGGAGCUAAUACCGGAUAAUAUUUUGAACCGCAUGGUUCAAUAGUGAAAGACGGUCUUGCUGUCACUUAUAGAUGGAUCCGCGCUGCAUUAGCUAGUUGGUAAGGUAACGGCUUACCAAGGCAACGAUGCAUAGCCGACCUGAGAGGGUGAUCGGCCACACUGGAACUGAGACACGGUCCAGACUCCUACGGGAGGCAGCAGUAGGGAAUCUUCCGCAAUGGGCGAAAGCCUGACGGAGCGACGCCGCGUGAGUGAUGAAGGUCUUCGGAUCGUAAAACUCUGUUAUUAGGGAAGAACAUAUGUGUAAGUAACUGUGCACAUCUUGACGGUACCUAAUCAGAAAGCCACGGCUAACUACGUG